GACAGGAGUAACUCUGUUUGCUUAAGCAUAUAAACGGGUUAUGAUUCAGAAACCGGAAUAUUGACCUUAUCCCAAAUAUUAACGGCAUGUAAACGUAGCCUGUGACUCUCAAAUCGUUAAGAACAUUUAAAAAAUGUGCAUUCCUCAGAAUUUGACAUGUACAAGUAUCUCAUUCAUUAAGUUUACAGCACUGUUUCAAUUCUAUUUUUCUUGUAUAACUACACUGAAAGCCAUCUCAGCACUUAUUUUUUUUUUAUAUUUCUUACAUAUUUAGUAUAACCUUAGUCCCUAUCCCUGCUGUGAUUUCCAUCAUAAUAUGACUCAUACAGACAUUGGAAAAUUGACAAUUCAUGACCAUAAACUGUUCAAAUGUCACACUGUUAAUUUUGAUGGGGUCAGUUACUGCCCUCUACUGGUUAUGUGAAGGCCCCAUAGACCAGCCCUUACUGAAUGAAAACAUCUGAUAGGAUC